AUUGAACGCUGGCGGCAGGCCUAACACAUGCAAGUCGAGCGGAUGAAGGGAGCUUGCUUCUGGAUUCAGCGGCGGACGGGGGAGUAAUGCCUAGGAAUCUGCCUGGUAGUGGGGGAUAACGUCCGGAAACGGGCGCUAAUACCGCAUACGUCCUGCGGGAGAAAGUGGGGGAGCUUCGGAACUCACGCUAUCAGAUGAGCCUAGGUCGGAUUAGCUAGUUGGUGGGGUAAAGGCCUACCAAGGCGACGAUCCGUAACUGGUCUGAGAGGAUGGUCAGUCACAUUGGAACUGAGACAGGGACAAGGGUCCUACGGGAGGGAGCAGUGGGGAAUAUUGGACAAUGGGGGGAAGCAUGAUCCAGUCAUGCCGAGUGUGUGAAGAAGGUCUUGGGAGUGUAAAGCACUUUAAGUUGGGAGGAAGGGCAGUAAGUUAAGACCUUGCUGUUUUGACGUUAACAACAGAAUAAGCACCGGCUAACUUCGUG
rnacentral:rRNA from 1 species